ACUCGCCGAGGGGGAGGGGCUGGAAGAUGGCGGCGGACGCACACCCACCCGACCGCGACAGAGCUUAGGCCCCUAGCCCGCGCCGCCGCCCGCUGCUCGCAGCCACUGUGGGCAGCCCUGCUCUGUCCCGCGUUGCUGGUAGAGCCGCCCCGCGGAGGCGUGGGACCAGGGUGGCGUCCGCAUCCCCUGCCAGCGCGCCUUCGCCCGGGUCCGUCCAGGGAGCACCUGUGCACGGCCAUAUUGGAUUCUGUGCCCCAGUCACUGCCUCAGCGCGGCGGGAAAGGAGAGGAGUUCAACAAUUUUUAUGAAUUUCUAAUCCAACCUCAUCAUCCUAUGGGAAACAGAAGACCACCAAGAACAGCCAGCUGAUGGAAUCUCAUUCUGUCACCAGGCUGAAGUGCAGUGACGUGAUCUUGGCUCACUGCAACCUCCACCUCCUGGGUUCAAGCGAUUCUCCUGCCUCAGCCUCCUGAGUAGCUGGGAUUACAGGUAUCUUGGCAGUAACCUCCUCCAUAUAUUUCCUUGGCCCUCAGCUUACAUCUAGCAAAAUGACUCUACUGGUUCCAGGCUUCACAUGCAUACAACAUGGUGUUGGAGGAACAGAGAUGUUUUCUCUUCCUGGUGUUUUCCCAGACAUUUCUUAGCUGGCAUUUCAAACAAGGGUCCUGAAAUUCACCCUGGUUGGGUCGUGUUCUCCCCUUCCCAUUCCCCAUCCCCACCCUCAACCGAAAAAUGAUGUAAGCAGGGGAAAUUGAAUGUACCAAUGUUUGUUUUUAAACAAGCCACAGACCCCUCCCCAACUCCCCGACUGAAGCUUGAAGUGGGAUCAGCUUUCCCUAAAGUACUUGAGCUUAUGGUAAAGCAUAUAUGUUAUCCAAGUUAAAGUCUGGACGCUGUUAGUAAUGGGAAGGCAAGUAAUGAAUGUUAGCUAUGGAGCCAACAGACAGUGUCCACUCCAUUGUCUUUAAGGCCCAACUAAAGAUAACCUCUUUACCAAUGUCGGUUUAUUUAUUCAUUUAUUUAUUCAUUGAGAUGGAGUCUCACUCUCUCACCCAAGCUGGAGUGCAGUGGAAUGAUCUCAGCUGACUGCAAUUUCUGCCUCCCAGGUUCAAGCAAUCUCCUGCUUCAGCCUCCCAAGUAGCUGGGAUUACAGGCGCACACCACCAUGCCCGGCUAAUUUUUGUAUUUUUAGUAGAGAUAGGGUUUCACCAUGUUGGCCAAGCUGGUCUCGGACACCUGACCUCAAGUGAUCUGCCUGCCUCGGCCCCCAAAGGUGUGAGCCACUGCACCUGGCUACAAUGUCAGUUUCUAUAAAAACUGCCUUGACUUGUUUUGUUUGCUUGUUUUGUUUGUUUGUGUUUUAAUUUUUAUUAUUUUUUUUUAGAGACAGGGUCUCAAUCUGUUGUCUAGGCUUGAGUGCAGUGGUGCAAUCAUAGCUCACUGAAGUGUUGGACUCCCAGGCUCAAGCAGUCCUCCCACCUCAGCCUCCCAAGUAGCUGAGACUACAGGCAUGCACCACCCUGUCUGGCUAAUUUUUUAUUUUUAGUAGAGAUGAGGUCUCACUAUGUUGCCCAAGGUGGCCUCAAACUCCUGGCCUCAAGUACUCCUGUGGCCUUAGCCUCCCAAAGCUCUGGGAUUGCAGGUAUGAGCCGCCAUGCCUGGCCUACUGUAUAUUUUAUGCAUUUGAUAUAAGUCUUGCCUCCCUAAGUAUAUUACAAGUCCCUUGAAGUUAAAGACAUUAGAUUCCUACUCAGUGCUGAGCUGCAACAGAGAGCACUCAAUGAUGGAUAAAAUAGUUUUAGCAUGCAUUCAGCGAUAUAUAUUUAGAAAGUGGAACUAGGUGGUUGAAAAAAGUGUAUAGAUGGGUGGAAGGGAAUAUUACAGCUCUUAGAAUUGUCCUAAGGUGAGAGUAACAAAUUAAGCAAUGAGUCCCUGGGUUCACUCAAGCAACUUCACUCUCUAAAACAAGAGCCCACAGAAUCCCAUUUCUGCUUUCAGAAUGAGUUUGAGGCCAAUAUUAUUUCCAUUUUUUUUCUUUUUCUUUCUUUCUUUUUUUUUUUUUUUUUUUUGAGACGGAGUUUCACUCUUGUUGCCCAGGCUGUUUUGAUCUCGGCUCACUGCAACCUCUGCCCCUGGGUUCAAGCGAUUCUCCUGUCUCAACCUCCCAAGCUGGGAUUACAAGCAUGCGCUACCACACCUGGCUAAUUUUGUAUUUUUAAUAGAGACGGGGUUUCUCUGUGUUGGUCAGGCUGGUCUCAAACUCCCAACCUCAGGUGAUCUGCCCACCUUGGCCCAGCCUCCAAUAUGAUUUUCUAAUAGCUGUGUUUGAUGAUUAUAUUUAUUCCUCCAUCAGUAGCUUUUUUAGCCUUGAAAAUAUCUAUUUAAGUUUCUUAUUUCCUUUGGAUCUAUCAAAGUGUUUUUCCCCAAGUGGCACCUGGGAAAACAUAUUCUAUUCAUUUAUUUUAUAACUGUUCCCUUGACCUCUUUAUUGCUUCCCUAUUACAACCCAAGAUGCUCUUGUAAACCUGACUUAAUAUUGGCAGUCUUCAUCCCUUGCAAAUGGAAGUGAUGACAGACCCAAUACUUUGUGUAAAAAUAUUUUGCUAUUUCUAUACAAAAUAUUUUAUUAAUGGAAACCACAUGUUAUGUAUUUUACAUAUGUUAUGACUUGAAAUUUAUGUUAUGACUUGAAAUUGGGGAAUCUGAUAUGUCUCUAAUAAUAAAG
rnacentral:lncRNA from 1 species